ACGCGAAGAACCUUACCUGGACUCGAAAUUUUGUUGACAGUCUCAGAGAUGAGAUCUUCCCGCAAGGGACAGCAGAAUAGGUGCUGCAUGGCUGUCGUCAGCUCGUGUCGUGAGAUGUUGGGUUAAGUCCCGCAACGAGCGCAACCCUCAUCCUUAGUUGCUAACCCGCAAGGGAAGCACCCUAAGGGAACCGCCUCGGAUAACGGGGAGGAAGGUGGGGAUGACGUCAAGUCCUCAUGGCCUUUAUGCCCAGGGCUACACACGUGCUACAAUGGCCGGUACAAACCGUCGCUAACCCGCGAGGGGGAGCCAAUCGGAAAAAACCGGUCUCAGUUCGGAUUGCAGGCUGCAACUCGCCUGCAUGAAGCUGGAAUCGCUAGUAAUCACGUAUCAGAACGACGUGGUGAAUACGUUCCCGGGCCUUGUA
rnacentral:rRNA from 1 species